GGGAGAGCUGGAGUUCGGACGGCCAAGUUCACGGAAAGCGCAGCUGGGGAGGAGCCAAGGUAUUUAUUAUGCUUGGUCUCCAGUUCCAAACAGAGCUGAUGGAUGGAGCUGCUCCAGUUCCUAUAAACAGCUCGGGCCUCCCUCUCCCCCACCCCGCCCUCCCCAUUCUCAGCCACCACAGCCCAACUGUUUCCAGUGCGAUAGGGGUGGGGGUGGGGGGAGAUGACCAAGAAGAGAAGAAUGGGAGACGAGGGGGAGCAAAGGAGGGGGGGAGGACAAAGAUAAGACGGGGUCCUAGAGGCCUGAGGAAGCUGCAGGGAAUGGAGGGUGGUCAGAGAGGAUUCUUUGCCUCCCCACUGGCCCCUGCUGCCGUGGGCAGCCCACAGUCUGCAUUCCCCUGUCCUCUCUGUGUCCCCUAGGCAGACACCCAAUGCUGAGGGCAGCCCAGACCUGUGGGCAGCUGGAGGAGAGAAAUCCAGACAGUCUCCCCAGAGAAGGUGAUGGAGGUGAUACAGGCGAGGGUGGUGAAGGAGAUUGUGCAGGUGGGUGGGGGGGUGAGCUGGUUCCGGCAGAGGAGGCGGGAGAGGUGCAGGAGGCAGUGCUGCCUAAUGGUUAAGACUGCUGGCUCCAGAGUGGGACAGCCUGGGUUCAAGUCUCAUCGCUGGAGCUCAGUUCUCUAAAAUGAGGAUGGUAACAGUAGAAAUCUCUUCAACGGCUGUCAGAAUUAAACAUGACAAUCCACAUCCAGUGCUCAGCAUGGGCCCGCCCGGAAGUGCUCAACAAUGGCCAUCUCUGAGCAUGUUGUGAGAGGUGGCGGGAGAGAGAUGGGCCUCAUGGGCUCAGUGAACUGCCUGAAGGACAGGGGCACAGAACACAGACGGUGGGUCCCAGAUCCUGGAGGAUGUGGCCAGCCUGUGGGUCUGAGAGGGUGAGUUGCUGGCGCGUCCCGGGACCCGUUCCUGGUGGAGUGCCACGCCAGCGCAUGGAACCCCAGGAGUUGGGCCCUGCACCUCAGGCUGACUGUGACCUGGGAGUGGCAGGGCCUCCCCUCUCCCUGCAAGCUAAGAGCUCGGGAAGCUGGAUGUUCUGAUGACCUAGUUGGCUGCUGUGUCCACGUUUGGCUGAAAACAGGAAUUUCUGCCUCACCGGGGGUCUUGGCCAGGUGAGCAAACUCCCUGUUUGUCAGGAAAAGGGGUCAGGGGCCUGCUGGGCUCCCUGCUGGAGCAGAGGCCCGCAGACCCUAGGCGAGCUCAGCCCAAGCUCCUGCUUUCCCCUUAGGCCUUCACGGAGCACCUAUCGUGUGCCAGGGGGUGGGGCUCUCUCCUUUCUCCCCCAGCCCUACCCCAUGAAAUAGGUGUUUAGAAUUUCCCUUUGCAGACUGGGAGCCAGGAGCAGGAAUGGGGAGGUGAGAGGGCACGGACCAGAGAAACGGAAGAAUCUCCAGGAGGCAGAGCUGCCAACGCUGGGCCCAGGGGCUGCAGGGCCAAGGGGAGGGGUCCAGGCUGACUCGGGGUGGGCAGGAGAAGCAUCACUGAGCAGGAGCUUGGGGGAGAGGCAGUCAGGGAAGGGAAGGGCAAAGGCGCAGUGCCAGGCUGCUGACAGGGCGAAAUGGAAGGUGUGAGGGCCAGAGGAAUAAGCACCCCCUGCUCUGCAUGCUCUGCCCUGGCCUGUCACGCCUCUCAGUGCUCCCCUACCCAGGUGAGGCUGCUUCUGUCCCACACCCGACACUCACCCUCCAACUCCAAGCCAGGAACCAGGUGUGGUUUUCUUCCAAGUUCAACCUUGAUCUGCAGCCUG
rnacentral:lncRNA from 1 species